rnacentral:lncRNA from 1 species
UUAAACAAAAAAAAAAAAAAAAAAAAAAAAAAACGAUUGCGGUUUUGUAGUUUUUCAUUUUAGUAACUUAUGAUUUAAAGUGUACCAAGUUAAUACCCUAUAAUUUUAUAUUUUUUUAGUUUAAUAUCAUGUGGUUUAAAUUGUAUCAAGUUAGCACUGUGUGAUUUUCUUUUUAUAUCAAGUUAGUACCCUGUGGUUUUAUUUUUCUCUUAAUGAAAUAUUAAACCACAGGAUACUAAAGUGAGAAAGUGCGAAACCACAGGGUACUAACUUGAUACACUUAAAAUCACAGGAUACUAAAGUGAGAAAGUGCGAAACCACAGGGUACUAACUUGAUACACUUGAAAUCACAGGAUACUAAAGUGAGAAAGUGCAAAACCACAUGGUACUAACUUGAUAUACUUUAAAUGACAGAGUGCUAAAGUGAGAAAGAGUAAAACCACAGUGGAGGUAUUUAAACUUUUCCCCCUUUUUUUUUUUCACCUCCAUUGGCCAAAUCAUACAAUGGUGUACUGCAUUUUAGUAUUAAUUUUAUGGAUUAAUUUUAUUCAGGUUCUUACAAAUAUAAUAAAUUAUAAAUAUAUUUUUAUAAAGUUCAACUUUUAUAUUUAUUUAUGCAAAAAUUUUAAUAUUUUCAAAUAUGUUCCUCUGAUUGUUACUGCUAAAAUAUUAUGUAGUUUAUAAGUAAAAUGAUAUUUUUGUCAUCAUAAAUAUAUACCUCCAAAAGUCUCAACUAUUAAUUAAAAAAGAAAAAAAAAUCAAUUCAUCUCAUUAACUAACUAAGAUUAAGUGUUUUAUCUAUGGUUAGCUAAGUCUUUCUAACAAAUCCUAACGACAAGAAUAUAUUUGAAAAAAUCAGAAUUUUUGUAUGAAUAACAUAUAAAAAUUGAACUUUAUAGUGAUAUAUUUAUAAUUCAUUAUAUUUAUAGAGAUCUAUAUGAAAUUAAUCCUAAUUUUAUUUGCUAUAUAUUAUAAUAUUUUUUAAAGACACUACAGUAUUGUUAUAUAUUUUCAAUCUCUCCACUGUAUUUUAGAUUUUUUUUAUUUUUCUAUAUUUGUACUAUUUUUUUAAUAAAUAAUAUUAAAUUAUUUUUUUCUCCCCAAUCUAUACAUUAUUGUUAACAAAUAUAUUAUUUAGAAAAAAUUUAAUA